GAUGAAGAACGCUGCGAAAUGCGAUACUUGGUGUGAAUUGCAGAAUCCCGUGAACCAUCGAGUCUUUGAACGCAAGUUGCGCCCGAAGCCACUAGGCCGAGGGCACGCCUGCCUGGGCGUCACACGCCGUUGCCCCCCCAUCUACUCCUUCGGGAUUGCGGGGGGGCGGAUGAUGGCCUCCCGUGCGCCUAGCCGCGCGGUUGGCAUAAAUACCAAGUCCUCGGCGACGCACGCCACGACAAUCGGUGGUUGCGAAACCUCGGUUGCCCGUCGUGUGCGUUCGUCGCGCAUCGAGGGCUCGAAAAAAUGCUCGGCUCCGGCUGGGCUUUCAACGCGACCCCAGGUCAGGCGGGGUUACCCGCUGAAUUUAAGCAUAUCAAUAAGCGGAGGA
rnacentral:misc_RNA from 1 species